AAAUGAAUCAUUUGGGAACCUCAUUAGAAAGAAGAUUCUGAAUCUGUACAUUGGGGAUGUGGCCCAAGAAUUCACAUUUCUAGAAAGUUCACAGAUAAUGCUUGU
rnacentral:pre_miRNA from 1 species